AACUAGCAUAAGAAUCUAGUUACAAAGUUACUCUAAGAAAGUCUCCAUUACAUCAGAGUACAUUCCGGUUUCGGGAUUGCGGUAUUCCUGAGGAUGGUGAUCAAGUGAAGUUGAAGAACCUGAAGAAGUCAUUCUAGCAGGGUUAGAGCUUUGAUCAGGCUUGUGACCCAAGUUCUCCGGGUUGAACAAUAGCUUUGCUUCAUCAGCCCUUCCGGUUAAAGCAUUGAAGAAAGAAAGGCCAUUUGGCCACUUUAUAUCAGAUUCGUGUUCUCCUCCCAUCAUUUCAUCCAUUCGAUUCUCUGCCGAGUGAGGCAUUAAAAACAUGUGGGGUUCGUCUUUUGCAGGGGCGAAUCCAAGAGGUCUCUGGAAAUUGUGAGGUGCUAACAUUGAAGCCGGAGAUAGGGGUCGUGGGCCCCAGUUGAAUAGCGGAGGAGGCCCCAAGGAAGUUCCAGGCUGCUUUGUGGGGAUAGUUGAAGAAGAGGAAGCAUUUCUGGUUGAGGAGAAAAGUUGUGAAAGAUAGAACCCCGAUUGAUAGCCUAAAGAUUCAAAGGUAUGCCUCAUUCGUAGCACGAAGUGCAGGUCUUCCGGUAUCUGAUACACAAAGUUCACACAUUUCAGUAUCAUCAUUCAUGACAGAUGUUUUCCUUUAUACCAAAACAAUAUACUUCACAGUAUUUUAAUUCAAGAAUUUUCAAUUCUGAGGAUUACUUCUUAAUUUCUUAUAUUUGAAUCGUACAUCAUACGGAGUAACAAAUGAUACACCUUGCUGAACCAACUGCACAGGUUUGAGUGCAUAAAAAGCUGCUUUUACUUAAAAGAAGGUAACAAAAUUUUUUAAGCAGUCUUAUCAAAAUAAAGGUGCUUUAUAUUAACUGUGCUAAUCAAGUUCAAAAUAUAUUUAAAGGUAGCUUUAACAAUGUGCCCCAUAAUCAAUUGUCGAACGUACUUUAGUAAUACUGUAAUACUCAAUAUAAUUAAGUGAUUGAACCAAGAAGAUGUACAGGUGGACACGAGAUGAAUUUUCGAUAGAGAUAAAAGAUGAAGAUGAGAUGACUCACAAUCUUGCAGGAGCCUAAUUGAAGAAGACCAUGACCAGCUUGAAUUACAGCAAUCGUCUGUUCAAAAAACCCAGAACGAUACAGUUAGAUAUAGAAGUAGAUUCUUUAAACAGAAGAUUGUAUGCAGGUAAUGCAAACCAGUUUCAACUCGAACCUGAAUACCAGAUUCAAAUUGAUCAGUCCAUUCAGUAGGAAGCUGCAACCAGAAAAAAGAUAGUGAACAAAAAAGGAGGUGCAGGGGACGGACAACGAGAGGAGAAUGGAGUAGCACAUAGUAUAAAUAUAUAAUAACAACACCUACCAAGUACCCACCCUUCUCCAUAAUUAUAUAACUGGAUGGACAUCUUGCUGAAUGACUUCCUGACA